UUCGGCUGUGUAUCACAGUAGUAGUUUGGUGAAAAGAAGUGAAGUGCAGGUGAUUUAUUGGGUUCCAGCAGUUAAUCCUAUUCCAGCAGCGAUAUCCCUAGCAGUGGAUCAUUAUUAGGGACUGUGAGUUUAAGGACUUUGACGCGAGACGA